rnacentral:rRNA from 1 species
AGUGAACGCUGGCGGUAGGCCUAACACAUGCAAGUCGAACGGCAGCGCAGUAAGAGCUUGCUCUUACGGGUGGCGAGUGGCGGACGGGUGAGGAAUACAUCGGAAUCUACUUUUUCGUGGGGGAUAACGUAGGGAGACUUACGCUAAUACCGCAUACGACCUACGGGUGAAAGCAGGGGAUCUUCGGACCUUGCGCGAUUGAAUGAGCCGAUGUCGGAUUAGCUAGUUGGCGGGGUAAAGGCCCACCAAGGCGACGAUCCGUAGCUGGUCUGAGAGGAUGAUCAGCCACACUGGAACUGAGACACGGUCCAGACUCCUACGGGAGGCAGCAGUGGGGAAUAUUGGACAAUGGGCGCAAGCCUGAUCCAGCCAUACCGCGUGGGUGAAGAAGGCCUUCGGGUUGUAAAGCCCUUUUGUUGGGAAAGAAAAGCAGCAGGUUAAUACCCCGCUGUUCUGACGGUACCCAAAGAAUAAGCACCGGCUAACUUCGUG